rnacentral:rRNA from 1 species
GACGAACGCUGGCGGCGUGCUUAACACAUGCAAGUCGAACGGAAAGGCCUCUUUCGGGGGGUACUCGAGUGGCGAACGGGUGAGUAACACGUGAGUAACCUGCCCUUGACUUUGGGAUAACUUCAGGAAACUGGGGCUAAUACCGGAUAGGAGCUCCUGCUGCAUGGUGGGGGUUGGAAAGUUUCGGCGGUUGGGGAUGGACUCGCGGCUUAUCAGCUUGUUGGUGGGGUAGUGGCUUACCAAGGCUUUGACGGGUAGCCGGCCUGAGAGGGUGACCGGCCACAUUGGGACUGAGAUACGGCCCAGACUCCUACGGGAGGCAGCAGUGGGGAAUAUUGCACAAUGGGUGGAAGCCUGAUGCAGCAACGCCGUGUGCGGGAUGACGCCCUUCGGGUUGUAAACCGCUUUCGCUCAUGACGAAGCUUUGUGUGACGGUAGUGGGUAAAGAAGCACCGGCUAACUACGUG